GGGACCCCCAGGCCCCGUGCAAUGUGCUGUCCAGAGUACGGAUGGUACAGGAUUCUCCAUCCGCAUCAGACCUUUAUCGAGGCUGACAAGCCAAAGCCCUUGGCACAAUUUAAUUUUCAUGUACCCAGUUUCCGUUGUCCAGCUGUAGGCGAAGGAAAUGCGCAAUGAGAGUUUUGAAGUCUACUCCAGCCCCUUCAUUUCCCGUCUGUAUUUGCUUUACUUUGUAAAUUCAUUCUAAACCUGCUUUAUAGAUCUUGCUCUGGUUUUCCCUCUGGCACCAACUGGAAGUGGGUGUUGGCUUUAUAAGGGCUGUGGAUUAGAAGCCAAACCUGACUCUAUCCCAGGGAGACAAGAAGAGACGGAAGAAGUUACCUCCACCAGCACCCCGGAAAGCACUCCGACAUCCCCGUCACCAUUGUGAACAGAUGGGAUUCUGUGUUGGCAGCUUUGUUCAAGUGUUGGAGGCAAUCUGAGAGCAGUCAGGACUCUUGCGGACAGAAGUGUGGAGUGGGGAGAGUUGGGUAACCUGCUCUGGCAGUUAUCCACCCUGAGUUGGACGGCAGGUGUAACUCUGGGAGCCCUGGCACACGUUGCUGAGACCAGCUGAGGAGCCCCCAGGGAACCAGGCAAUGUUUCCCUGAAUGUUUCUACUUCUCACCAGCCUGACUCAGUUCACCUAUGGAUGAAAGCUGGUCACCCUGCCCAUCCGGCGGAUAUAACAGGGCUGACGGCUGAGACUCAGUGAAACAAGACCAAAGGAAGUUUUAAGUAUGAACAGCAGGCAAGCAGACCUCAGAAGUAACCCAGGUAGAGGGGCUGGUGUGAGCCAAGGCCCCAAGGCAUGAAAAGCCUGAUGUGAGGGAGCAUCUCUGAGGCCUGAAGUCAGAGCUGCAGAGGGAACAAGGGCCCGACUCUGGAGGACCUGCCAAGGCUUCACACGACACUGUGGAGCAGAGGUUCUCAAGGUGCGUCUCUGAACCAGAGUCUGAGCAUCACCUGGGAAUGAGGGAGAAAUGCAGAUUCUCAGGCCCCACCCAGGUCUACUGAAUCAGAAACUCUGGGCUGGGGCCCAGCCAUCUGUGUUUUCAGGAGCUCUCUGAUUCUGAUGCACACUAAGGUUUGAGAACCACUGAUGGAGAGGGUGAGGAGAAUGACUUUCACUGGCAUUGGGAGGAGAUGACUAUUAAUGAGAUGAUUAAUUACUGUGUAGUGAUGCAGAGGGGACCCAAGCAGAUGGCCCCACCUACCCUCCAGGCCCCUCCAGGCUCCACUCCCUAUUCCCUGAAACAGUGGUUUCAGGGAACCCCACUUAGUCGCAAUUCCACUCCUCCCCUCACACAUUAGCUACUUCCUGCUGGCCUGGCCCCUUUCGUCCUGGAGAGAGACAUGGCCCAGGAGAGGCUGUAGUGAGGCCUCCCAUCUCUAGGGAUGCUGCCUUCCAGGUUCCUGUAAACUGAGCAGCUUCCUCCAGGGCCAUAUUUGAGGGGGAAACAAUUAAACCAUGGCAAUGACCCUGCAUCACCAGAACAACUGUUCUGCACACAGCACCUCUACUGGCGGAGCCAUGCAGGGCCCGGCAGAGAGUGGAGCUGGGUCACGGCCAGGUCGCUGCAGACCACUCCAUUUGUAAUGGGACUGGGGCAUGCAGCAUCACAAUCCGACACUAAAUUGGACGGGAAAUGAAUGGCUUUUCUUGGAAGGGCAGUGACUCAUUCUGGAUGUUACUAAAAGUGAAAAACUAAAACCAAAACAAACCUGCAGCCUCUCUACAGACUGAAUCUGUCUUGGUCCUCGAAUUUCUAAGACCUGCAGAGGUCCCAGUCUCCACCAAUGCCCUUUCCCCCCUACCAGAUGCCUGAGGUCCGGCAACUAUUGAUUUAGUUUUUUGAUUUAUGGCUUAAACUCUGUGACGGUCCACAAACCUUUGGGAGGAGCUAGUUGGCGCUCUCUCGGUUAUUUACAUCUAACUGUGUGCAGUAUCUGUCCACGUAUAAGGAUUUCUGAGACUGGGAGUCAGAGGGCCCGGGCACUGGGCGUUGGGGUGGAAGGAUGGAGGAGGAAUGGGCUGGGAAGGAGCCCAGACACCCAGCCUCGGAGAGCUAGCACUGCUGUGUAGUUCCUGAGUACCCCCUAAUGCCCUAGAGGACAUUUCAUUCCUCCCGCCCAGCUUGGAAAGGUUUUCUGAUGAAAUACCCAAGCAGCUCCUGAAGCCGCAGAGACCACAUGGAGAAUAACUCCGCUCUAAUGGAUUAGAAUAUGCUAACAAGAACAAAGAGGGCUUGCAGGGUGUUUGUGGUGAGAGAGAAUGGGGAAACCAGAUAGCCCUGAGCGCAGAAGACGAAGGGUCUCUUCCUGUCACUUAGAUCCAGAAGAGGUUGUCUGUACAGCCUGGCCUCUCUUUUGAAUUCCCUGACGAAAUGUUGCUCUCCCAAGACUUUAAGGCAAUUUUGUGUGUUUCCCAGAGGUUGGUCCCUUAUUACAAAGCCUCCUGUAGGACAAAAGGACAUGGAACAGGAUGGCAGGAAGUGUGUGGAGAGGCCUUUGGUGGUUCUGGAAGCAGGGAUGGAUUCUGUUCUCGUUGACAGACUUGGACCUAUGUCUGGUCAAGCCAGAUAGGAAGACAUUAUGGACUGAGGGUCAGGAGCGCAGAUGCAGCCACACAGAUGGAGUGAGUGAGUCGUGAGGGGUUUCAUUGGGAAGGCUGGGCAGAGAUGAGGCACACAGUAUGUCAGUGGGCAGGUCACACCAGCCGUUUACACUCGUCAGAAACAAUCGAGAGACCUGAGUCCCAACACCAGCUAGUUCCUCCCAUUCUGAGGAGCAGAGAGGGGCUGGUGCCUCUGGACCACGGAGGUGACACAUCUCCAGAGUCAGGGUCCCACUCCAAGAGAACUUUCAGUCGAAUGAAGUGGAACCCAGUCCUCACGGCCCAGGCGCCUGACGGGGCACCAGACCAGGACCCUGAAAGACAGAGUUGCGUGGGGCCAGUAUGGCUCCUCGACUCUUGCCUUCUCUGCUGUCACAGGUGCCCUCCUCAAAGCAAGAAGAGGAACUUAUCCCUCCUGGCACCCUGGUGUCCAGAGUAGCCCCUGGCCCACAGCAUGUGCUCAAUAAACGGUGAAUUCAGUGGAAUACCAGAGACCACUUGACCUCAGUGAACGGACUGGGUUUGAAAAAUUAAGAUGCUCCAGUGGAGAAAGAUUCCUCCAUUUUUCUUUUAGUGUUUAAGCCAGGGUCCUUCAUAAAGUCAGAUCGAGGAGGCGUGGAAGUGCAGUAGAGGGAGGAUGACAUUCCUGCUUCCCAAAUGGAGAGAGAACGGGAAUGGGGCUGUUUGGAGAGUGACCCCUUCCCAGCUAUAACAGUAAAAGGAGCCCCUAAGCAGAGAACAGGGGCAGGUGGGCCUUGACAAGCCCACUUGCUGCACCCUGUAGGUCGUGGCAGCGUCCCAGCUGAGGAGAGAAAGCCCUCGUCUAUUAAUGACCCAGCCCUGUGCUGCGCUCCAGUCCCUUUUAUCAGACUCACUGCAGAGGAGAUUCAUCAAGAUGAAGCUCAGUUCCCAACAGACUAAUGAAAAGAGAGCAACAAACGUGAGAAGAGCCCAAAUGCAGACAGUGUGUAUUAAUCACAGGCAAUAGAAACAUGUCGGCUUUAAUGUCGGUCUGCUUUUAUCUUGAAAUGAAAAUGCAUCUCUGCUGCCCAGACCCUUUAUUCUGAGCAAUUCAGAACAGAAGUGGGACACACACACAAAUAUUGAGGGUUCUUUUCCCAGCAGAAAGAGCUAUCAGAGAAAUGAGCCCACAGGUUGUGUCUAUUUGCAGAAGCAAAGAAUUCACCACAAGUCUCAGCUACAGACUCCAGCCACUGUGUGGAAAAGGGAGGGGGAGGGAUGGGGAGGCAGCUGCCCUUGGCAAGGGUUCAUUAGGGCAUCUGGGACGAGGGGCUCUGCUUGUGCCUGUGGGUCACAAACAUUAAUGUCACGUGCACCAUCCACUCCUGGAGACGAAAGUACAUCCAUCGUGGUCAACGUGGAGCACCCACCCCCCCGGCUCCCUUAUUUGGCUGCAAAGGAACUGCUGAUGAGCAGGAUUCAAGAGAGGUCAUGUUCAUCUUCACUAGUAAACUUCAAGUGAUGGAGACGGCAACAGCUUUUUGCAGGUCAGGAAGUUAGCCUUGAUACCCACGACUCAUCACUCAAAAAAGCAGGAGAAGAGAGAUUGAGGGGAACAGGUGAGGCUGGGUGGGAGCGACAGCAGCAGGAACCCCUCACCCAGGAGGCCAGGGCUCUGCUAUGUCUUGAAAGCUGUACCCAAGUUUCAGCAAACUAUGGGUAAGUCUGGCCGGGUGACCGCAGAGGCAGUCAGGGCAAUUGCUUCCAAAGUCAGAGCUGAUUGAAGGUGAUUUCAGUUCUUAAUUGAACUAGUCGUGACGGAUCACUCCACUUGAUGCCUCCAGCCUGACCGCAGUAGCUUCUAAAAAUGGCUGUUGCUGCCCUGAGCUGGACAGGCUGGGAAGGAGAUUGAAGAAAACUAGUUGGUGAGUUCAGAACAGAAAUUGCAUGUAGAAGUUGGUUGUUUUCAAAGAAAUCUGUAGGUAUUAGAGUUUGAUGUGUUACAUUAUUGGAAUGGACAUUAUCAUGUCGAUAAGGUAAGAUUCAGAAUGACUUGGUGGGGCAUUAGUUUAGAAAAUUAGUUAACAUAUUGAAUAUAAAUUAUCAGAGACAAGUAGGCUAAGGACAGCUAAAUAUAUGUGUCAUAUGCAUAUACACAUCUAUAAUACAGAAAUAAGUAAGAUAUAGAAUGAAGAUGUUGAUGGUCCCAACACAUUUUAAAUUCUUGAGAAGCAUUGGUUUGAAUGUUACACUUUUUCUUGUUGUUGUUGUUUACUUUGAGCUCUCAAAGCUCUGGAAACAGUGCCUGGCACAUAGUAGGAGUUUGUUAAGCAUUUGGAAAUUGAAAGUCCAGCUUGUCACUACGCAGUAGACACUUACCACUAUCACUAGACCCCAAAUUAAAGGAGCCACAGAGAAGCAGGUCUGCCACACACCCCCCGGGUCAUCAAUGCCUGGCUGAGGAGAAGCCUCGGGGAACUCACAGAUUCAGAGCAACGUUCAGGCAGCUGCAGGCACUGGGUCUUGCUGUCUGGUAGUAAGCAGUGGUGGGAUGUUUGACAUAGUAGGUCUGAACCCCUUGGACCAGAUCUGCAUAUCACUCAACAAGCUAUUUCUCUGGGCAGUGGGGUGGGGCUUCCUUCCUAUUGCCUCUGUCAUUUCCUAAACACUUGGUGGAGUGCUGUUGAAUUUUGCCAACUUCAGGCACAAUUCUGGAACUAAAAGUAAAGGUUCUGGGGGCUCAGCCAGUCUAAAAGGUCUAGUGAUUUCUUCUCCCAGCCCUUCCCUUCUGCCAUAUCUGAGAUGCCACCACCACUUAGGAGCCUUAGAUGGCCAUUUAUGCCCAGCCGCCCAGCCACAGUGUGUAUGGGAAAGGUCUGAGAUGGAGGUGAGCCUUUCUCUCCUCGGAGCCUCUGAGGUGUUGACACAGUAGAGAGAGGAACGACCAGCAGCGUCAUUUUACAGAAUCGCCUUCAAUCGCUGUUCCUGUCUGGGUGGUUAAGGCCAGUCUAGCCAGAGCGUCUCCCACAGUGACCAGCUGCACCUCCGGGGCUGGCAGUGUGUACCUGACACACUUCUGAGCUCUUCCAGCUGCCUCAAAGAGUGAAUCCUUUUAUUCUAGAAAAUGCAUUUAUUUGCUAAAUAUGCUAUUGUGUGUGUAUGAGCGCGAUACAAUGCGAACUUCGGACUAUCUCGUUAGAAAGACUGUAUGCAUUUAUAGAUCAUCGAACCUAAUUUCAGGAGAGCACAUUGUCAUCUUGCUCAGUGAAUGAAGUUGCCGGGUCGCAGAUCAGAGAAAAUGCCCUUCCCCGCCCCCACGCCCUCUCUGAGCACCCCUCCCCUGCCUCACUGAGCUGUCUUGUACUCCAGGCUCACAGAGAGAGGGGCGCUGAGAACCUGUCUGUACAUAACGAUGUAGGAAGAAACAAGAACCGUCACGGGGUCUGUUGGGCUUCUUCCUAAGACUGUGAUCUUACCCAUGUUUGAAUCACAAACUUUAAAUUUCUAACAAUUAAGAUUCUUGCAGUUUCCGAGUAAUUUGUUAAAUGCCUAUUCAACACAGACAGAUAUUUAUUUUCAGCCUUGGCUUGUAAAUGCCUACAAACUGAUUCAUGUUGGUGGUCAUUAUGACACUUUCUGUGAAUUGGUGAAUAAACAUGAUUUUAGAAUUUCACAGUAAA
rnacentral:lncRNA from 1 species